UCCAGGGAGGGCCUGCAUGGCGCACCGUCUUUCCAGGGUCUCUCCCUGGAGGUCGCGGUCCCUCCUUGCCCGGGCCUUCCGUACGAGCGCUCUCCCGGUGGGCGCCACUUCCGCCCAGCCGGACCAGAGAGGCCGCCCCAGCUCGGCUCGGAGCGGGGCGAGAGGCCGAAGGCCGGGAUUGAGUUACUCCGAGAAAGAGCCGACACCGUCACCAGGCCCCUCCCUCGUCCCUCGACUUCCAACAGCCCGCCACCACAGGCCUUUCAGAAGCUUUCCUCCAGAAAGCAUCCUCUGACUCCUGCCGACCUCCAGGUUCCCCCCAGGCUUCUCGCCUCCUGACCUCAGGCCACUAGUUUCAGAGGAAUCCCAAAGCCCUCACAUGGUAGAGUCCCUGCCUAGCUCAAAAUCCUCCCAAGACGAUGCAGUUUAUAGUCCAAGUGCCUGGGGCUAGGACCUGUUGAUGUCUCCAGCCAGUGACCCUGCCUGCGGGCUUUACGCGUUGUCACUCUGAAGGACAAGUAGUUUUCCAGGCUUGUUCAGUCCUGGCUGAGUAAUAGUGCAUGGAAUGGAUACACCACAUAGGAUUCAUCCACUUCUCAAACACCGGUGGACAUCGGGUUUCUCUCCACGUUUUCACUCUUACGAAUAAUGCUGCUCUGAACAUUCAUGCCUAAGGUUUUGUAUCAACGUGUGUUUUCAGUUUUGUUGAGUAUCUACCUGCAAAUGGAAUUGCUGGGUCACAUGGUAAAUUUUCAUCUGUAACGUUUUGAGGAGACACACCAUUUUUUUAUUCCCACCAGCAAUGUCUGAGGGUUCCAGUUUUCCCUGCAUCCUCGUCAAGCUCUGGUGUGUCUUUGGGUUCACCCAGCGGCCUUUUCCUUCAGGUCCUGCAGCACCUCCCACUUGGACUUGAACUACGCAUGACCUCUGGAAGCACCCACCUCAUCCAUCCAGCUUCUUUUUCUUGCCCUUUGUACCACAGCUGCUUCCUAGAUUCUUGGCAAGUGCGUUAAGUUGGGGGAUGUAGAUGGGGCAGUGUCUGACCAUAUUCACUAUCAGAGACUCAGGUGCUAGGAUGAAGACUGUGUGUAUGUGCCUGAUUUGCUGUUUGCACAGACUGAAUGGUUACGGCUCCCCCCUCCCCACAUUCAUAUGUUGGAACCUAAUCCCCAGUGUGUUGGUAUUAGGAGACGGGGCCUUUGGGAAUUGAUUAGGUCAUGAGGGUGGAGGCUUCAUGAAUGGGUUUAGUGCUCUUAUAAAAGAGACUCCAGAGACCUCCUCGCCCCUUCCAUGUGAGGAGAGAAGGUGCUGUCUGUGAAUUUGGACACUGAAUCUGCCGGCAUCUUGACCAUAGCCUUCCCAGCCUCCCAAACUGUGAGAAGUACAUUUCUCCCACCCCGGAUCUGGUGUUCUAUGAUGGCAGUCCAGUGGACUGGGAAUGUUGUGUAACGUGAGCACGUUGUGCGGCUUUUCCAGAUCUUGGUUUCUUUAGCCUGCCAAGCCUCCUCCCUGGCCAUCGAGAGAGAUCCCUCCACUUAAAAAUGGACCAGAUGUUUCAGAACAGAAGCUAUUAAAGUGGCCAGUGAGCACAGGCAGAUGUGCUCAGCAUCACUGGGCAUCAGGAAGGUAUGAAAUGAGAUACACUUCCCACCCGCCAGGCUGAGAGUAAAGACUUUCAGGAUCAAGUGUUGGGGAGGGUGUGAAGCGGCUGGAACCUACGUACACUGCUGACGGUAUGCAAAUUGCUGCAGCCACCUAGAAGACCAUUAAUACACACUAAGGCUAAGCGGACACGUACUCCAGGUCCCAGCACUUCCAUUCCCAGAUGCACACUCAUAAGAAGUGUGUCCUUAUAUCCACCAAAUGACACGUAUGAGAAUACUUCUAGUAGCCUUGUUCGUAAUAGACCAAAACGCAAAACAAAUGUCCGUCAGCAGUUAGAAAGAAAAGAGAAGGAAAUUGUGGGUUAGCCAUACAACGGAACCUACACAGCAAUGGGAAAAAACAAACAAACAAAUGAACUGUUGAAAACAACAGCAUGGCUGACAUACGUUGAGUGAAAGAAGUCAGGCGUGAAGAAGUACUUAAAAAAAUAUAACUAUAUUUUUAUGAGGUUUAAAAGCAAGCCAAAGUAGUCUUUGGAGUUGAAAUCAGAAAACGUGGUUACCCUUCCUCGGGGUUAAUGACCGACUGGAAGCAUUCGGGGGAGCUCUCUGGGUGACCGACUAGAAGCAUUUGGGGGAGCUCUCUGGGUGACUGACUCGAAGCAUUUGGGGGAGCUCUCUGGGUGACUGACUGGAAGCAUUCGGGGGAGCUCUCUGGGUGACCGACUGGAAGCAUUCGGGGGAGCUCUCUCGGUGACCGACUGGAAACAUUCGGGGGAGCUCUCUGGGGUGCUGUUAUAUUGCUGUGUAUAUAUGUAAAAAUCCACUGGUCUGUUACUUUGUGUAAUUUACAUCUUAUAUAAAAAAAACCCUGAAGAAUGGUGGCCUCUAUACGACAAAUGGGGAAACUGAGUCACCAAGGGAGAAUGGUGUCACACAACGCUUCUUAGAUUCACCUGGAGAGGGGGUCUGAGUGUUCGGAGACUAUAUUGGAAUCCUGUCAUUUCUAAGCUGCUUCAUUAAAAUCUGAAGUUUGCUACAAAA